ensembl:lncRNA
AGCUUAUCAGAAAAAUAAUCGAGUUGAGAGUAAUUGGGUUUACAUCAUGGAUUGAACUUUGGAAACUUCACUGACCACUUAAUUUAAACGCGCUGGUGCUGAUGGUCAUUCUCGCUCCUGGCUGGAAGCUCCCUGGAGAGGCACUGGUGGCAGCAGAAUUCUCACCUUCUCGAGGUGCUCAGGAUCACUCACUCUGUGGAAGCCAGCUGCCACGUCACGAAGACCCUCUGGCUAUUCUGUGGAGGGGUUUACAUGACUCGGAGCUAAGGCCUCCUGCCAGCAGCCAUGUGAGCGAGCAUCUUGGGGGCAGAACCUCCAGCCUCAGCCUUUGGGUGACUGCAGACUGCAAGCCAAUUGCUUCACCUGCAGGCCUUGAGCCAAAACUGCCCAACUACCCAACUAAGCUCCUCUGGGAUCCCUGACCCUCAGAAAAUGGCAGACAAACAUGAGCCAGUGUGAACCAGAGGAAGACCGGAGACUUUGGAUGAAUCAGAAUCAGCCAAAAAAGUUCAUCUGGCAACUCCUGCGAACUGACCGUCAUCCAGAGGAACAGCUGUGAUGUCCACGGGGCACCCAGGCAUUCUGAAGAGCCACUGGCAUUGAGAAAGGGGCAGCGACAUUUCCCCCAGCCUGUCCUUCCUUCCCGGCUCCUGGUAAGAAGGGCCAGUGCCAUCCACCACUGCCCAUUUGUCCAGGACCACCUCAAGACAGAUGUUUGUCCUUUGCAGCUGUUAUUUUUAGAGGCACAGUGUCUGGAAGGGAUAUCCAUUUACCGGUUAUUCAUUUUGCUUUCUGCUUCAGGGAUGUUGAUAAAGAGUGUGGAUCUAAAUAAUUGCUUCCCCUCAGCCAACUCACAGAAGGUGUCCUGGUGCAUUUUAUGUCCUGAGGGCAAGUGAAAAUUAUGUGUCAUGUGUGGCAAUUAUUUUCUGUGUUGCUACUCCAUUCCUGGCAUAUGGAUGUGUCAAGCGGGUGACUGUUUAUCGACCAGAGUGGGGAGGGGCAGGGUGGGAGCAGCUGGGGAGGGAGGUGAGAAAUUCCUAGUUCUUUUCUUCUACCGCUAAUUCCUUUCAAGCAGAUACUCCGAUUUCAUAUGAAGUAAAGCUCUCUGCAUAGUCAAAUUGAUCUGCUUUUCUUGGAUAUUUUCCUAAGUAGAGUUUCCACUAAGAUGAGCUUAACUAAUGAUGGAAAGAAUGUAAUCCAUCUGUGAAAAACUCUUAAUCUUCAUAAAACCAGACUCACAGGGGCUUUGUAAAUGACAUUUACCUCUGCUCCACUUCCUCUCCAUUCACAAAAUAGCUGAUUGCAUGUGCAGAAGGAAGAGAGGCCAGCUGUCAUUUUCUAAAAAUGCGACCUGCACUGUUGGGGUCCGUAAAUGAUGGCUAGUGAGGUCAUGGAGAAUGGUGCUGCCGUGUAGUAAGCUUUUUAGUUGAUGAAGAUAGUUACAUGAAUACUAAUGCUGAUGAUGAAAGCAGCAAUCCAAGCUUUUUGAGCCCUUACCGUGUACAAGGUGCACUGGUAAAGUGCUUUAUGUGCAUCAGCGAUUCACUUGGUCCAAUACGCAUGCAAAGCAGUAACUAUUGCUCUCUGGAUUCCACCUCGCAAGAUCUAUUCUUCACCAGGUUUUUCUCUUCUCAGUAAACGGUACCGCCAGCUGCUGAGCUGCUCUGGCCACAGACCUGGAAAGGAGCCAUCUUUGAUUCAUCUCUUUCCCUUUGCCUCCCUCAUCUAAUUUGACCGCAGAUGCUGCCAACGGUGACAGCAAGUUUCCCAACGUGGUGUCUUUGAUGGGAUCCCUGCUUACUUCUCAGACCUCACCCUUCCAACUCUCUUCUCCUGGCUCGGGUCCCAGGGACACUGUCCUUCCGUUCCUUAAAUGCAUCGCACUUGCUGGAAAAUGUGUCUUAAAUAUAUCUCGAGUCCUUCCAUGUCAGUCCAUUGCCACAACUUCAGGCUGAGCCUCAUCACCUCCAGCUGAAAGUAUGGAAACGGCCUCCUGACGGGUUCCAUGCUUUCACUCUUACUCCCGCAGAAAGAUCCAACAGUAAGAACGAAUUGUGGAACUCAUCAUAUCACCCCACUGCCUAAACCUCCUGUGGCUUUGUUUUGCUCCUAGGAGAAAUACCUAUUUCCUGACUUGUCUGCUCGCACUGAUUGCUGCCUGCCUCUCAAACACCCGCAUUUCCCAUCACUGCCUUCCUCGCUUUCUGUGUCCCAGAUACACCAGCCUGUUUGCUCUCUCUUGAAAAUGUCCCACUUACUUCUGCCUCCGAGUUCUGAAAUCACUGCCUUUUUCUCUGGGAAACACGUCCCCUGUCUUCACAUGAUUGGCCCCACAUCAUCGUCAUAAUUUUAUACCCGCAGGUGCAAAAGAAAUAGUAAUCAAAGGGGAAUAAGGUGUAGCCACAUUUGCUCCAAAAUUGGGAGGACAUUUAGGGACAGGUUUGGGAGGAAUUUGGAUGACAGACAUGACAGAUAAAACAGCAGUCCUUCAAGAGGGUGACCUAGGGUUUUGAAUUCGGGAGUUGGGCUGAGCCUGAGGGUACGGGCGCCUCUUGGGAAGACACGAUGUGCAUUGUUCUCUAAUCUGGUCAUAACCUUUACAAACAAAUUAGAUAUUUAUGUAUUCAUAGUGUCUCACCUACUCUGACUAAUGCCAACCCUGCAUGGAAGAAAACUGGAGAUUGCAGAACUGGCCAAUCAGUAGAAUGAAUGAAUUACCCCUACGGUCAAGGAAACUUAGGCUGAGAGAUGAGAUAAGCCCUGGUAGAGGUAGAACUUAAACCCAGAACUUUCUGCUGCUCCUCCAGUAAUGUGUGGGUCCAUGGUGUCCUCACACUUCAUUAUUAUUCUGUAGCAUUUCAUCUGAAUCACAUAAUUUAACACAGAUUAGAUAAACUCAGAGUUCCCGUCAUGGCUCAGUGGAAAUGAACUUGACUAGUAUCCAUGAGGAUGCAGGCUCUAUCCCUGGCCUUGCUCAGUGGGCUAAGGACCUGGAAUUGACAUAAGCUGUGGUGUAGGUCGCAGAUGUGGCUCGGAUUUGAUGUUGUUGUGGCCGUGGCAUAGGUCAGCAGCUACAGCUCUGAUU